rnacentral:misc_RNA from 1 species
GGACGAAUCUUAAGGUCAGUCACCGCCUGCCUUCUGGUAAACGUAGGUGAGACCACACUUACCACAGUAGUGCCUAUCAAAAUGAUUGGCCAUGAAAGUCCCAGCUCCACACUCAGAAUUCGGGCAUUCCUUCCUCAGCCUCUGCACCUUCCCGGAGUCCUCGACCUUGUAGAACUGGAGCACGGCGAGCUUGACCUUCUUCUUUUUGUGCUUGAUCUUCUUGGGCUUAGUGUAUGUCUUCUUCUUUCUCUUCUUGGCGCCACCACGGAGACGAAGUACCAGGUGAAGAGUGGACUCCUUCUGGAUGUUAUAGUCAGCCAACGUGCGGCCGUCUUCAAGCUGCUUGCCGGCGAAGAUCAAUCUCUGCUGAUCGGGUGGAAUUCCUUCCUUGUCUUGGAUCUUGGCCUUGACAUUGUCAAUGGUGUCGGAGCUCUCAACCUCCAGGGUGAUGGUUUUCCCGGUAAGGGUCUUCACAAAGAUUUGCAUACCACCACGUAGACGGAGGACAAGGUGAAGGGUCGACUCCUUCUGGAUGUUGUAGUCGGCAAGGGUGCGCCCAUCCUCAAGCUGCUUCCCAGCAAAGAUGAGUCUCUGCUGGUCUGGGGGGAUGCCUUCCUUGUCCUGGAUCUUAGCUUUGACAUUGUCAAUUGUGUCUGAGCUCUCAACUUCCAAGGUGAUUGUUUUCCCAGUCAAAGUCUUCACAAAUAUCUGCAUACCACCCCUGAGACGGAGGACCAAAUGGAGGGUGGACUCCUUCUGAAUGUUGUAGUCAGCCAGGGUGCGGCCAUCUUCUAGCUGCUUCCCAGCAAAGAUCAGCCUCUGCUGGUCAGGUGGAAUUCCCUCUUUGUCCUGGAUCUUAGCCUUAACAUUGUCAAUGGUGUCUGAGCUUUCCACCUCGAGGGUGAUUGUCUUUCCAGUAAGGGUUUUCACGAAGAUCUGCAUCUGUUUAGAAGAAAUAAACCAAAACACAAUGACUUUGUUGUUGUUGUUUGUUUAAAAGCCUUGACAACAGAACAUAAUGACAAAAAAAAGGGGCUUCUAAUCAAGUUUUGGCAGAUCAAUGUAUAAGUUCUAAAUCCAAUUUCAACAGAUCAGUAAAAAAAUUGAUAUAAAUAUAAUAAAAUUAGCAAUGACUAUAAUCAAGUUCUUUUUAGGUAUCAUAACCCACAAAAGUAAACCAAUUGGGACUCAUUAAAAAUCUAUCCUGGUUCUUUCAGAAAAUAAAGAUAAAAGAUCAUUAACAAAAUAUACUGAACUUCUACAAAACAAAGGAAGAACAUUUGCCAACAAUAAGUUAAAAUUCCGAACAACACCUUACCAAGGGCCAAUUUAUCAGAUUAGAAGUCCAAAAUAAAACAGGAAACAUGUCCAUAAAGAAUAGGCCAACUGCUUGAUCACAUCAUCUCAAAUCAAAGAAUUUAUUACUUCAUCAAAGAAAACAAGCACAAACCUAUACAUUAAAACUCUGUUUGGAUAGAAGGAAAAGGGAGAGAAAAGAAAAUAAACAAGAGAAAAUAAAUUGUUAUUUUUCUUUUCCUUGUUUGAAAAUGAAGAGAAAAUAGGGGGUUUUCUCUCCAAUUUGAAUUGAAGAGAAAGUAACAAAAGUGUUCUUUAUACAUUAAAAUUAUCAAAUCAUCUUUUUUCAAAGUAUUUUUUUUUUUAAAUACAUGAAAUAAAAUUGUAAAUUUAUCCUAUUUUUCUUUCCGCUCUUUAUUUUCCUAUCUUUCUAUCUAAA